CAGCGCCGCGCCUGCUUUUCCCACGCAGGAGGUGGGCUCUUUAAUGUGUGCCACACAACUCCAGAGGGUAAACUUUAAGAAGAGUUGGUGACCUGGAAAGGGAUUGCAAGGAGUUGACUGAAAAUCACCAUCCAUAUUGUGAGAUCUGACAAGAGGAGAGAUAUUCUUGGAAAGGUGCUCUCCUUCCACAAAAAGGAAACAGAGGGCCAAGUCUUCUGAUUCCCAUCUGUCUGCCUUGGAAGAGUCCAUGUCUCUGGGAAGAAGGCUGCACUCAUAUUCUGGGCCUGAAACUGGGUCAUUUUUAACUGAAAUGCAACAGGAACUCAAGAAACAAGACCAUGAAACCAUGGAAUUGGAAGGUAAAUUCCUAUAUGCUGAAACUGAAUUUUGAGAUAAGCCUGGUUUCAAGAGGAACUUGAAGCUGGAAUAGUUAGAGCAAAGGAGAAAAGCACAGAAACUUGGAGAAAGAUGAGCUGUAUGCUAGUGGGGGAAAAGAGCUUGCCCAGAGCUUGCAGUAGUAACAAAAUAUGGAGGAUGCUGUGAAGGAGAUGGGAUAGCCUCUGACCGCUUACACUGAUGAUGCAGAUCUGCGUUGGAUGCUGAGAGAACAAGAAAGAAAGCUGCACCCCAUGGCCAACCAUUUACUUAUUUACAAAAGAACAAUAAUAAAUGCAUCACAUAUUAACAAAAAUAUCAUAUAGUUAUAAAAUAAUACUUUAUUAAAAUAUCUCAUGAUAAGAUUAGUAACAUUUUUGUAAAGUAUUUCAAUAAGUGGCUUAAUGGAACACAACUGGCAUCUCAUAAAGUGGCUACAUUGAGUUGCAUAGGACAUGUUUGACGUGUAUGGAGAGAGUCUGGUUUCUCAUAGAUAUAUAGUUGGAAAGUACCUAGUAUUUUAAUAGAUUUUCCAGAAAACUGUUUUUCUCUGAUACAGCACUAAAAUUCAACAACUAGUCUUUAAAACAUCAUCUGCAAAUGUGGAAUCUUAAACCUCACCAAGAAGUUUUGAUAUUUUGUUGCCUUAAAAUCUCUUGUCCAUUUCGUACUUUGAAUGGAUUAAUUGCCUAGUCAUGCUUUGGUAAGAUCAUGCACUGGUCAUUUGGCAAACAUAGUUCAUUGACCAAUACAAAUCCUUCAAAUGUUGACACAUUUUAUCAAAUAAUAUAAAACGUAUUAAUUAGCAUCAUCACUGAUCUCAAGAGAAAAAUCUUUAUUGGUAAGCUGCCAAGCCUGAAGUAGCAGAUACAGUUUUUCCAAAUUUCAGUUUUUGUUUUUCGUUUUAUUUUUUCUUAAAAUGUUAAACUUUGUUCAUUUCCCAAAAUGUGUCCCCUAAUUACUAAAAUCAACUUAGCCAUAGGUUGCAAGUAUUCUUUCAAGUAAAGAUGAUGUUUCAUGUAAGAAUGUGGGUGGUUUCACACCGUUGGAACAAUUGCACACGUGCUUUUUCUUGGACAAGUGUGGCUCUUUGGUGUAUGGCCUGAGUGUUCUGUGGCCCUUCCAUUUUAAACAUAGACCCAAAAGCUGACAUGUCUUCAGAGUCAAGAUACAAUACAAUUAAGAAUUUUAAACAACAACAACAAAUGAAUUCUACAGUGUCAACAAGGCCAUAAGUAAAGUUGGAAUUUUUUUUUUAAGUGCAUGACAGUGAAGAAUGUAGUAGUUACUGUAACAGGGUGGUCCCCAGGAAGAGGGGACCAGGUUCUCCAGGUUCUCUGCCCAACCCAAGGGAGGGUGGAGCUGAGCAGGAUGAAGGAGAAGCUGGAGAGGAGACCAGAGGAAGGAAAGAAAAGGAUAGAGAGCAGGAAGGAGGUCUGAAGGAGGCACAUGGAGCAGAGAGACAGGUGAAGAGACCCAUGGGGAGGUUAA